rnacentral:misc_RNA from 1 species
UGCAGCAAAUGAUUGAAGUGAAGUGAGUGGAAGAAGUAGGGCAAUCAAAAGUUCGCCAUUUUUACUUUUAGUGAAGGGAGAUUUUAUAUUUUGUCAGGCUGGAGGACGAGGAUAAUUUUCUAAGUGUGUCAUUGUAUUUAUUUCUCGUAGAAGAGACUAUUAUUUGAGAAAAUCUUAGUAUAAUAGUGUGGUUUUAUUUAUUACUAACGUUUUGUAUGUAGUGCUACUUCCCGUCGUAAGAUUGCUCGUUGGUGUGUCGCUUUAGCUAAUUCGAUGGCUAUGAUACUGGAAUUGUAAUCUAACGUGUCGCUUAGACAUUCUGCACACGGGAUAAUAUCGAGAAAGUGAGGCGACGCCGUCAGAAAUGAGCAGGCCUCAGGGCGGACGCAUACAAGUCCCGGAUGACCUUAGAGAGAUCUUACUGGAGUUCACCAUAAGCUACCUCCUGGAGCAGCCCGGCGACGUGAUCAACUACGCGGUCGAGUUCUUCACACGGUUACAGAACAACAGGACCACUACCAUCGUGCGGGGCCCCACCGCCGGCACGCCCGAUGAGUCCAUAAUAUCAGAUGAAGAAGAGCCGCCGGUGGCGCGCUUCAACAACCGGCGCAAGUCUGUGUUCGCGGAGACUUAUGACCCGGAGGAAGAUGACUCGGACGAGGGGGCUCCAAUCGUGUUCCCCAAGUCGGAUGCGCAGCGGACGAGGCUGGCAGAGGCAGUUCGCAGCAUACUACUCUUCCGUGCCAUCGACGUGCAACAGAUGCAGCAGGUCCUAGAUGCGAUGUUCGAGAAGCGCGCGGAGCCGGGCGAGUACAUAAUUCGGCAGGGCGACGACGGCGACAACUUCUACGUCAUCGAGAACGGCAUCUUCGACGUGCUCGUCACCGGCGACGAUGGGAUCGAGAAGGUGGUGCACACGUACGAAGGAUCAGGCUCGUUCGGCGAGCUGGCGCUGAUGUACAACAUGCCUCGCGCGGCGUCGGUGCGCGCGCAGACGCCGGGCGCGCUCUGGGCCAUGGACCGCCACACCUUCCGCCGCAUCCUGCUCAAGAGCGCCUUCAAGAAGCGCAAGCUGUACGAGGAGCUGCUCGACAAAGUGCCCAUGCUGAAGGCGCUGCAGCCUUACGAGCGCGCGAACCUCGCGGACGCGCUGAUCCCGCGGCAGCUGAUCGACGGCGAGCUGAUCAUCCGGCAGGGCGACAUGGCCGACGGCAUGUACUUCGUAGAGGACGGCUCCAUCUCCAUCCGCAUCACGCGCGACGACGGCAACGAGCACGAGAUCAAACGCCUCGCUAAGGGCGGGUACUUCGGUGAGCUGGCGCUGGUAACGCACAAGCCGCGCGCCGCCUCCGCGUACGCUGUCGGACCCACCCGGGUGGCAUUCCUGGACGUGGAGACAUUCGAGCGGCUGCUGGGCCCGUGCAUGGAGAUCAUGAAGCGCAACAUCGACGACUACGAGGAGCAGCUGGUGAAGCUGUUCGGGGACAAGAGCAACCUCACCGACGUGCGAUGAACGACAACGUCGCACGCAAGCAACGCGGGCCGUUGUUUCCCUUCCACGCACCAUCGUCGUUGAUCACGUGUGCAUGCCCGCGAGCACCACUCGGCCCCGCGCGACUGCGGUGGGACCGCCGAUGUCGUUUGACCCUCAGGUAGAUCUUUCCAGUAUUAUUUAAAUUAGAAAAAUCUACAACCCUUAUUUGUGAGUCCAGCCAAAGUAGGUGAAUGCAUAAAGAUCAUGUGUAGCACUAAAAUAUUUAAGUCUAUAUUUACUAUGUAGUAGUUAGUUUUUGUCACUUCUUAUUGUAAUUUAAAUUAAAUAUUAGUAGUUUAGGGAAUCUAAAUGGAGCAUAGUCACAUCCUGAGGGGAGAGGUGUAUUAAUUUAACGCCAUGUGCAAAAAUGUACAAAUUUAUUUCAGCUGCCAUAGAAGAUUUUAACGUUUUAUGUUAUUGAAUUAUUAUCUAAUUGAAUUAAAUGUUAGUAAUUUUAUUUCGAUUGUUAGAUUUGCAGUACUUGAGACUUCCAUUGUCUGGCAGGAUUGACGUUUUAUUGAUUGUGUAGUGUGCUGUUUGCUUUGCCGCUUGUGUUGUGGCCGGCGUCCGGUGUCGGCGUGUGGGAUAACAACGCAUUGGUUCACUUAGCAUUCCUUGUUGCUGAUGAAAUAUAUAUUUUUAACUAUUCUAUUUUUGUUAUAGAAAAGAGAUUUAUUUUUAUCUGUCCAUCAAUUGCGAUAAGAUUCUCACUUCAAGUGCCUAUUUCAUACAGAAACAUCAACCAGGAUACAAUUAGUACUUCUCACUAACCACUUUAAUCUCGUGUUUUUUUUUAUUCUUGAACUGCCUUUUUCUAAGUGAAAUUGUGAAAUGUGUUGUGAGGUAUGUGUUUAGUGCAUCAGGUAAAAUUACUCAUUUGAGUCGCAUACAAAUGUUAUAAUGUAACAGAGUGAGGGAGUCUCCGAGCUUAUCGACUGGGAAUCGUUAAUAGCCAAUCAAACAUAUAAGAUAUCGGCAUAACGACGUAAAACAUUUCAAACCGUUUCAUUUUGUUUUCCAAACCGAUUUCACGUCGAUAAGUUUGGAACUCUAAUACAGUCAAAGAAAAGAGCAAUUCGGCAUAAACACAGGCUCGUAUUUGACUCGUGUAAUAUUUGACAUGGCUCGUAUUUGACAUUUCUUCGACUGUAAAGUGCUCUAAUGCUAACGAUAUAAAUCGUUGUACUAUCAAAUCGACGAUGUUAUACCUAGUAUCUAAGUGCGCUAACUCUGAGAGAAUAUCAAUCUAAGAACUUCCAUUCUUCAAUGUUGGAUUGCUUUUAUGUGUGUGGAAUGUCAUUGCGAAGUUUUCCCUUCUAUGAUACAUAUUACCUCUAUAGACAGGGUGCUGCAUUACCAUCGAGCACAAGUUACACUCGAACUCCAAUUUGAUUCAUCGCCACAUUUCUAUCGACAUAACAAUAUUCACAGUGUCAGUCGAAUGUAUUACAGACGGCCGGCAGUGGUGCAGCACCGUGGUAAUUUGAUAUUCCCGUGUAUAACGUUGUGUUUGUUACAUUGUACAGGUGAGGUGCGUAACGUGUCCACUACUCCACAUUAUUAAUGUCUGUGUGUCCCCGGUGUAUCAAACCCAGUAGUUAAUAGUAUUGUGCAAUAACUUAUGUCAUUAUAUGUCGUCUACAUCAAUAUCAUGUGUUAAAUUUCGUCAGUGUGGAAUUUAUUUAUAGAUUUUAAUAAAAAAUAGAAUAAGAUACAUAUAUUUCUCUUUAUACUGAUGUUUAAUAAAAACAUUCUAAGUAUUCGCAUCAGGGACUACUUAACAAAGCUAUCUUGUAAGGCUAAUAUAGUUUGGAGAAUUGUAACUGACUUGCAAUAUGGUAACGAAAGCACAAAUGUUUGUUUGAAACACGUGAAUUGAUAGAUUUCGAUUCUGUUGUCUUCCAAAUGGGACGCACAGAAGUUCUCAACUAGUUCACAGCGACAUCGCACCUGCGUCAUGCGUCGCUCACUGUCUUCGUUUGUUCUCACCAGUUCGACUGUUUAGUUCAAUCGUCGAACUAAUGAGAUAAAAAAGUGUCACUAGCUCCCUGCAGUUACGUGAAUUACUGCGAAUAUAAAAAUAUUUAAAUGCAGUAGAAUUAGCGUGUCCUUAACGCUCUCACUAGUUCGACAAUUGAACCAUCACUAGUAGAACAUACGCACUAUCUGGCAUUCUGAUGUUAAAUUCAAUACGCUUAUACGUAGCGUAAUUUUUUAUAAAUUACUAGUCAUUGGUGUCUUAACGUAGAUUUGUAACCUGACGGCACUUUGGAAUGGAACAUACUCCAUAUCUUCACAUUCACAUUAGGUGUAAGUUGUCAUGCCAGUUCCAUGAAGUGAAGCAUAUCAGAGCGGACAGCCGCCUCCCAUGUUGUCUAUUAUAUAAUUGCACCACAUAUGUACAUCCGGUAGCCAGUUGAAAACUAGUACCGCUUUACCCACGUCAUGAGCUUACCCUGUACAUUUAUAAAAAUUAUGUAUCGUAAAAUGUUAGAAAACUGAAUUAUAUUUGUUUGUAGAUCUAAA